GCCUCUAUAGCUCAGUGGCAGAGCGCUUCACUUGUAGCUAAAACUGCGCCAUGAAGAGGUCGGUGGUUCAAUCCCGCCUGGAGGCA